rnacentral:rRNA from 1 species
GAGUUUGAUCCUGGCUCAGGAUGAACGCUGGCGGCGUGCCUAACACAUGCAAGUCGAACGGUACCAGGCUUUCACUGUCCGUUCCUCGCAACUAGUUUCUAGUUGACCCCGAGGAAUAGAGAGUGAAAGUGCUGGCGAGUGGCGGACGGCUGAGUAACGCGUGGGAACGUGCCCCAAAGUGAGGAAUAAGCACCGGAAACGGUGUCUAAUGCCGCAUAUGAUCUUCGGAUUAAAGUAUUUAUACGCUUUGGGAGCGGCCCGCGUCGGAUUAGGUUGUUGGUGAGGUAAUGGCUCACCAAGCCGACGAUCCGUAGCUGGUCUGAGAGGAUGACCAGCCAGACUGGAACUGAGACACGGUCCAGACUCCUACGGGAGGCAGCAGUGAGGAAUCUUCCACAAUGGGCGAAAGCCUGAUGGAGCAACGCCGCGUGCAGGAUGAAGGCCUUCGGGUCGUAAACUGCUUUUAUUUGUGAAGAAUAUGACGGUAACAAAUGAAUAAGGAUCGGCUAACUCUGUGCCAGCAGCCGCGGUAAUACAGAGGUCCCGAGCGUUGUUCGGGAUUCACUGGGCGUAAAGGGUGCGUAGGUGGUGAGGUAAGUCGGAUGUGAAAGCUCG